CCUACGGGAGGCAGCAGUGAGGAAUAUUGGUCAAUGGACGCAAGUCUGAACCAGCCAUGCCGCGUGCAGGAAGACGGCUCUAUGAGUUGUAAACUGCUUUUGUACGAGGGUAAAUCCCGAUACGUGUAUCGGGUUGAAAGUAUCGUACGAAUAAGGAUCGGCUAACUCCGUGCCAGCAGCCGCGGUAAUACGGAGGAUUCAAGCGUUAUCCGGAUUUAUUGGGUUUAAAGGGUGCGUAGGCGGUUCGAUAAGUUAGAGGUGAAAUCCCGGGGCUCAACUCCGGCACUGCCUCUGAUACUGUCAGGCUAGAGUUUAGUUGCGGUAGGCGGAAUGUAUGGUGUAGCGGGGAAAUGCAUAGAGAUCAUACAGAACACCGAUUGCGAAGGCAGCUUACCAAACUACGACUGACGUUGAGGCACGAAAGCGUGGGGAGCAAACAGGAUUAGAUACCCGUGUAGUC
rnacentral:rRNA from 1 species